rnacentral:rRNA from 1 species
GAUGAACGCUAGCGACAGGCCUAACACAUGCAAGUCGAGGGGCAGCACAUGAGUAGCAAUACGAUGGUGGCGACCGGCGCACGGGUGAGUAACACGUAUGCAACCUGCCUGUAAGAGGGGAAUAACCCGGAGAAAUUCGGACUAAUACCGCAUAAUACCACGAGACUGCAUGGUUUUGUGGUUAAACAUUUAUGGCUUACAGAUGGGCAUGCGUAUGAUUAGAUAGUUGGUAGGGUAACGGCCUACCAAGUCUACGAUCAUUAGGGGUUCUGAGAGGAAGGUCCCCCACACUGGUACUGAGACACGGACCAGACUCCUACGGGAGGCAGCAGUGAGGAAUAUUGGUCAAUGGGCGAGAGCCUGAACCAGCCAAGUCGCGUGAAGGAAGAAGGUUCUAUGGAUUGUAAACUUCUUUUGUAUAGGGAUAAACCUAGAUACGUGUAUCUAGCUGAAGGUACUAUACGAAUAAGCACCGGCUAACUCCGUGCCAGCAGCCG